UGCGGUAAUUCCAGCUCCAAUAGUGUAUUGUAAAGUUGUUGUGAUUAAAACGCUCGUAGUUGAAUGAAAACAAUCGAGACGUGAUUUACGUUCUCUCGGUCAUACGAUGGAUUCGUCCAUCCGGCCGAGUUGAACUGCAAUCGCAUAACGUCUCAUAAUAAGCGGGAGUUUGUUUACUCAAACUCUUUUACUUUGAUUAAAUCAAGGUGCUUAAAGCAAAAUCUUCUGUUAAUGAAUGAUGAAGCAUGGUAUAGAAUUAAAACAGAACAGAAAGAAAAACGAAUAAAUGGAGAUGGGCAACCAUUCGAAAUUUAUUUAUUUUUGUUUUGUUUAAAACAAGGUUAAGAGAAAUGAUUAGGGUGAUUUAGAUAGGAACGGGAGAGGUGGAAUUCCAUGAUCGUUUCGAGAUAAACGAGAGCGAAAGCAUUUCACA
rnacentral:rRNA from 1 species